UGGGGAAUCUUGCACAAUGGGCGGAAGCCUGAUGCAGCGACGCCGCGUGCGGGACGAAGGCCUUCGGGCUGUAAACCGCUUUCAGCAGGGACGAGGCGAGAGUGACGGUACCUGCAGAAGAAGCCCCGGCUAACUACGUGCCAGCAGCCGCGGUAAUACGUAGGGGGCAAGCGUUAUCCGGAUUCAUUGGGCGUAAAGCGCGCGUAGGCGGCCAGCCUGGUCGGGAGUCAAAUCCGGGGGCUCAACCCCCGUCCGCUCCCGAUACCGGCCGGCUUGAGUCUGGCAGGGGAAGGCGGAAUUCCCGGUGUAGCGGUGGAAUGCGCAGAUAUCGGGAAGAACACCGGUGGCGAAGGCGGCCUUCUGGGCCACGACUGACGCUGAGGCGCGAAAGCUAGGGGAGCGAACAGG
rnacentral:rRNA from 1 species